UGGUGAAGUCGUAACAAGGUCUCCGUAGGUGAACCUGCGGAGGGAUCAUUACACAAAUAUGAAGGCGGGCUGGAACCUCUCGGGGUUACAGCCUUGCUGAAUUAUUCACCCUUGUCUUUUGCGUACUUCUUGUUUCCUUGGUGGGUUCGCCCACCACUAGGACAAACAUAAACCUUUUGUAAUUGCAAUCAGCGUCAGUAACAAAUUAAUAAUUACAACUUUCAACAACGGAUCUCUUGGUUCUGGCAUCGAUGAAGAACGCAGCGAAAUGCGAUAAGUAGUGUGAAUUGCAGAAUUCAGUGAAUCAUCGAAUCUUUGAACGCACAUUGCGCCCUUUGGUAUUCCAAAGGGCAUGCCUGUUCGAGCGUCAUUUGUACCCUCAAGCUUUGCUUGGUGUUGGGCGUCUUGUCUCUAGCUUUGCUGGAGACUCGCCUUAAAGUAAUUGGCAGCCGGCCUACUGGUUUCGGAGCGCAGCACAAGUCGCACUCUCUAUCAGCAAAGGUCUAGCAUCCAUUAAGCCUUUUUUUCAACUUUUGACCUCGGAUCAGGUAGGGAUACCCGCUGAACUUAAGCAUAUCAAUAAGCGGAGGAA
rnacentral:rRNA from 2 species